rnacentral:lncRNA from 1 species
CUGCCGGCGAAGAUAACGGCGUUAGUACUAUCAUCUACUCGGAGGUUUUCAACCACCUCUUUAAAAAAUAGGUUCGCACAAUAUCAUAAACCCUUAAACACUACAAAUACAUUACAAAGCUAACCUAACUUCCCUUUUCAAAUGGUUGUCACACACGAAGCUCCAAAUCCAGAAGUCCAUAAAGCAACCAGAAAUUCUUAACAACUCUUCCCAGCAACCAUGAGAACUAUAUGUUUUAUGACUAAUAUUUUAUUUUCUAAACGUCAACCUUUUAAGUUUUACCAAAACAGCUAACCCACCAAAAUAUAUACCACAAAACACUAACACAACUCAAACAUGCUUUGAAAGAAAAACCGCCCAAAACUAAUACUCAAAUUAUCCCACCACUCCACAUUACACACAUAAAAAUAAAAAAAAACAACAUAACACAACACAAACCCAUGUGUUCGUAUCAAUGUAAGCAUUACAAGAUAUACCCCCACCCAUAUACACACUCAAACACACACAACCAAAAAAACUAUACACAAAACCACAAAGAAAAGAAUUACAC